AGAGUUUGAUCAUGGCUCAGAUUGAACGCUGGCGGCAGGCCUAACACAUGCAAGUCGAGCGGUAGCACAGAGAGCUUGCUCUCGGGUGACGAGCGGCGGACGGGUGAGUAAUGUCUGGGAAACUGCCUGAUGGAGGGGGAUAACUACUGGAAACGGUAGCUAAUACCGCAUAAUGUCGCAAGACCAAAGUGGGGGACCUUCGGGCCUCAUGCCAUCAGAUGUGCCCAGAUGGGAUUAGCUAGUAGGUGGGGUAACGGCUCACCUAGGCGACGAUCCCUAGCUGGUCUGAGAGGAUGACCAGCCACACUGGAACUGAGACACGGUCCAGACUCCUACGGGAGGCAGCAGUGGGGAAUAUUGCACAAUGGGCGCAAGCCUGAUGCAGCCAUGCCGCGUGUGUGAAGAAGGCCUUCGGGUUGUAAAGCACUUUCAGCGGGGAGGAAGGCGAUAAGGUUAAUAACCUUGUCGAUUGACGUUACCCGCAGAAGAAGCACCGGCUAACUCCGUGCCAGCAGCCGCGGUAAUACGGAGGGUGCAAGCGUUAAUCGGAAUUACUGGGCGUAAAGCGCACGCAGGCGGUCUGUCAAGUCGGAUGUGAAAUCCCCGGGCUUAACCUGGGAACUGCAUUCGAAACUGGCAGGCUAGAGUCUUGUAGAGGGGGGUAGAAUUCCAGGUGUAGCGGUGAAAUGCGUAGAGAUCUGGAGGAAUACCGGUGGCGAAGGCGGCCCCCUGGACAAAGACUGACGCUCAGGUGCGAAAGCGUGGGGAGCAAACAGGAUUAGAUACCCUGGUAGUCCACGCCGUAAACGAUGUCGAUUUGGAGGUUGUGCCCUUGAGGCGUGGCUUCCGGAGCUAACGCGUUAAAUCGACCGCCUGGGGAGUACGGCCGCAAGGUUAAAACUCAAAUGAAUUGACGGGGGCCCGCACAAGCGGUGGAGCAUGUGGUUUAAUUCGAUGCAACGCGAAGAACCUUACCUGGUCUUGACAUCCACAGAACUUUGCAGAGAUGGUUUGGUGCCUUCGGGAACUGUGAGACAGGUGCUGCAUGGCUGUCGUCAGCUCGUGUUGUGAAAUGUUGGGUUAAGUCCCGCAACGAGCGCAACCCUUAUCCUUUGUUGCCAGCGGUUCGGCCGGGAACUCAAAGGAGACUGCCAGUGAUAAACUGGAGGAAGGUGGGGAUGACGUCAAGUCAUCAUGGCCCUUACGACCAGGGCUACACACGUGCUACAAUGGCAUAUACAAAGAGAAGCGACCUCGCGAGAGCAAGCGGACCUCAUAAAGUAUGUCGUAGUCCGGAUUGGAGUCUGCAACUCGACUCCAUGAAGUCGGAAUCGCUAGUAAUCGUAGAUCAGAAUGCUACGGUGAAUACGUUCCCGGGCCUUGUACACACCGCCCGUCACACCAUGGGAGUGGGUUGCAAAAGAAGUAGGUAGCUUAACCUUCGGGAGGGCGCUUACCACUUUGUGAUUCAUGACUGGGGUGAAGUCGUAACAAGGUAACCGUAGGGGAACCUGCGGUUGGAUCACCU
rnacentral:rRNA from 1 species